UACGGAGGGUGCAAGCGUUGCUCGGAAUUAUUGGGCGUAAAGGGUAGGUAGGUGGUCUCAUUUGUCUGGGGUGAAAUCCUUGGGCUUAACCCAAGAAGUGCCCCAGAAACGGUGAGACUAGAGUCCUGGAGAGGGUCGUGGAAUUCCCGGUGUAGCGGUGAAAUGCGUAGAGAUCGGGAGGAACACCAGAGGCGAAAGCGGCGACCUGGACAGGCACUGACACUCAACUACGAAAGCGUGGGGAGCAAACAGG
rnacentral:rRNA from 1 species